ensembl:lncRNA
UUUAAUUAAACAUUUUGUGACAUUUAUUCAGUCAUUUUUACAAGCAGUAAUCUGAAAGAUCUACAUUCUCAGGAACUAAGCUAGAGAAAGUGACAAUGAUGUCAGCUCUUAAGAGGCACGUGACUUAUUACAAUCUAGUUUUAUAAGCAUCUGUGUAUGUGUCUAUAUAUAUAUAUAUACAUAUACAUAUAUCGAUUUAGAAGUAUGAACACAGUUAAGUUAUAAACUUAAAAUAAACUUCAAGCUGUUAUAAUGUACUACAUAGUAUGGUAGGAUGGUCAGUUUCCAAAGAGUUAAAAUCAACCAUCUCUUGAUAACAUCAGCAUAACCAGGCGAAAUAUGAAGUCAAUCAUGUAAAAAUGAUUCAUAUGUUAUCUUAAUAUUACACCACAGAUUUAUUACAGGCUGUGUUGGCAAGCUUCGCACGCUCGGAUAUUCAGUCUAAACCCUAUCGCCUAACCUAAUACAGCCGGUUUAUGCCUUGAUGUUAAUGGUGAUUAGUAUUUUCUAAAGCUGUAGAUUUAGGUCACUGAAAACGAAAGCGGUGGUUCUUGCCGUGAUGUGUUGUUGCUGUGACCUGGACCUUCUCUCUACUGUGAAGGACAGCAAUGGCACGAUGGGGAUCAAGAAAAAACUAACACUGCAUUCUUUAUGCACCGCCGAGGUAAAAAUAUGAAAUGAAGCAUCAUUUUCUGGGUAUAUAAUCAUUUUACACGCACGCACACACCCACACAGGCAGUUUGGCCACAUUGGUUUCAGCAUCCAUAUAUGUGUGUGUAUAUAUAUAUAUAUAUAUAUAUAUAUGUAUAUAUAUGUAUAUAUAUAUAUAUAUAUAUAUAUAUAUAUAUAUGUAUAUAUAUAUAUAUAUAUAUAUAUAUAUAUAUAUAUAUAUAUAUAUAUAUAUAUAUAUAUAUAUAUAUAUAAAAUGUGUGUGUGUGUGUGUGUGUGUAAAUUCCUAUAUAUGGACCACACAAACACAUCAGGUUGCUGAUGCAGGCGUAGGCGCAGGCGCACACACUACUUUAGGUUGAAGAAGCCAGAGGAUUUGGCUGGAGGACCCAUCAGCAUGCAGGCUUGGUUCUUGUGUGUGAUAGUAAU